CUCACCUGACUGAGUUACCCCUAGCGCACUAGGAAUAAACUUCCCUUUGCCUGAUUUGCAUUGUCUUCAUGUGUUCCUUUGGGUGAUCAAUUCUCGGACCCUAACAUAUGGGGGCUCGUCCGGGAAUGAUACCCUGAGGACCUCCGGGACACGGGAAGUUCUCUCCCAACUUUCGUGGUGACUUUCCUGAGAGGAGCGAGAACGGGGAUGAUGGUCGACCCACCACAGACCCAACCCAUCUUGCUGUUGUUUUUCCUGCCACUCGUCCAGACUGGGACUUCCCCUCGGAGGAAGCUACUUUAACCGAGGAUGCCUGCAAACUGUCAACAGGAGCAAUUUCGAUUUUGAAAUUCUAGCAGCUUUUUGGAAGAAUUGGUUCAAAAAUGUCGGACUUGUCAGCUGACCCGUACUGCAAAGACUGAUAACCAUAUUGGCACCAGGCUUCAUGGUACUCGCCCUUGCGAAUACUGGGAGAUGGAUUUCACAGAGAUCAAGCCAGGAAACUGCAACUGGAUCGUUGGCCCCUCUUAUGUGAAUGGUUCCAACCUCCUCCUCAUACCCCACAUCCCUUUAAACCUGGGGAUUGGAUCUGGGUCAAGAGACACCAGAAGCGGGCGCUUCAACCCUACUGGAAAGGGCCAUUUGUUGUUCUUUUUGUAACUCCUUUGGCUUUAAAAGUUGACGGGAUUGACCCUUGGAUCAAUUAUUCCCACAUCCGGCCAGCGGAGCCUCCUGAUCCUAGCAGCGACACCUGGACUAUUUGCAACAAAUCUGAUAAUCCCUUGAAGAUUUGCCUGAACCGAAAUGCUUUGGCUGCACCCUAGAUUUUUGCUUUUCUUACAGUUAUUGCAGAUCUUGAUCAUGGGGUAUCAGUUCCAAGGUGUAUUUUCUACUAAUCCUAACAUACCUUGGAAAUGGACCUUGUCUCGAUUUAGUUCUCCAUUUGAUCUUUACACUAAUGUUACGGCAACAGCCCCCUCUUUGAUUGUUUAUGCUUGUGAAUUGAUAGAUGGCCCUAAACCCUAUCAGCCCAUUGGCUCUCUUUGUAUGAAUGUUGGGAUUUUUUAUUUUUGCCUGGCUCUUAACCCUCUUGCAAUGCUCCAAAUUCUUAUUUUUGUGGCCAUUGGGGUUGUGAGACAAUUGUCACUGGAGGAAGUGGGAUUACAGGGUGCUCUCGAUGGACCCCGACAAAUAGAGAUUCAUGGUUGACUGUGAGUUGGGGACCCCCAGGACGCAGACAUCAGUGUUCUUUAGAUGACCACGAGGGGGCCCCUUGUUCUUACAUGAUCCUGAAACUGCUACAACAUACUCAUGACUCCUGGGUGCUAGGAAGAACAUGGGGGAAUACAGCAAUAUCGAGCAGGAAAAGACUCGGGACGGUUGUUUUUCAUUAAAAAGGAAUUGGCUAUUUCCCCACUCCAACCAAUGGGCCCCAAUGUAGUUCUAAACCCCAAAUUUUCACAAAUCCUUCCAGAUUCUAUUGGUUUGACCUCCCCGGCUCCUUUUAAGGAUCCCCUUGGUAGCCCCUUAUGGCCAUUGUUACAAGCCUCCUUUACUGCUCUCAAUAGUACUCAACCCAAUAUGACCGAAACUUGCUGGCUCUGUUUAAGUGCUCAUCCCCCUUAUUAUGAUGCUGUAGCUUUAAACUUAUGAUAUUUCUAAUUCAGACCAACCUACUUCAUGUGAUUGGGGGGAUCGAAAAGUUGGCCUAACCUUGCAAUCACUUGCUGGCCAGGGUACUUGCAUUGGGAACAUUACCAUUAUUAAUAAACUUCCCCAAUGAUCCCCGUUAAAUCUACCAGGAAAAACUGGAAAAUACUAUAUUCCCCCUUCAGGGGCUCGGUGGUCUUGUUAUAUAACUGGUCUUACUCCUUGUGUUGCACAAUCCACGUUGAUGACCCACCUACAAGAGUUUUGCUUGCUUGUUACAAUUUUCCCUCGGGUAACCUAUUAUUCUGAAAAACAAUUUUUAGCCCUACAAUAUUCAGGGUCAGGAUUUACUUGGAACCGACAAGAACUGGGGAUAGCCUUAACCCUUGCAGCCAUUCUUGGCUUGAUGGGAGUGGGUACAGGCAUUGCCUCACUGGUCCUUCGCCAAAACGAGAUGACAGCAUUACAUCAGGCCAUUAAUACGGAUCUUAGAAGGGUCAAGAAAUCAUUAGAAGCUCUGGAAAAGUCCCUUACUUCUCUUUCCGAAGUGGUUUUGCAAAAAUAGGAGAGGCCUUGAUCUCCUGUUUCUUAAAAAUGGGGGACUUUGUGCUGCGCUCAGAGAAGAAUGUGGCUUCUAUACAGACCAUACGGGCAUAGUUAGAGAAUCAGUAGCGGCACUUAAAGAAAAGCUUGGACUCCAGAGGAAGAGUGCAGGCAACAGGCCAGUCAUGGUAUCAGCAGUGAUUUCAAUCCUCCCCAUGGCUCACUACACUUAUUUCCACCCUCCUGGGACCCUUGGUUAUUUUUAUUCUUCUGUUAACUUUUGGGCCUUACAUUCUUAAUCGUCUAGUCCAAUUUGUUAAGGAUCGUAUCAAUGCUGUCCAGCUUUUAGUGCUUAGGCAACAGUACUUACCUUUGGGAAAAAUUCCUGAGCCAUGUACCAAUAGCAUGGCCAUGAGUAAGAUUCCUCAUUACGGACAAUCCGAAGUGGGGAAUGUUGUGUAGUAAAAAUUAACUGACCCUCGUUCUGCUCCUUACCUAGGACAGCAAAGUAUUCAUUAACAGAAUGUUCUGGGCAAGAUCCUAGACAUUACGGGACUUCCACAAUGUCCCAGACAUGACCGGACCUUUGAAGUACACCAAUAGUCAUGUAACCACUUGUCUUUCAUGUCUCUACCUGUCUGCCGGUUAUGUUAAUUUGAUUAACUUGAUUAACUUUAUUAACCAAAUGCUCUCAUGUAACUCAACUAUGAUCAUACCCUAUAUAAACACUGCUUAGACUCUGCUUCGGGGGAACUCACCUGGCUGAGUUACCCCUAGCGCACUAGGAAUAAACUUCCCUUUGCCUGA